CCUACGGGAGGCUGCAGUGGGGGAUAUUGCACAAUGGGGGAAACCCUGAUGCAGCGACGCCGCGUGUGGGAAGACGGUCCUCUGGAUUGUAAACCACUGUCCCCAGGGACGAAGAUGACGGUACCUGGGGAGGAAGCUCCGGCUAACUACGUGCCAGCAGCCGCGGUAAUACGUAGGGAGCGAGCGUUGUCCGGAAUUACUGGGCGUAAGGGGAGCGUAGGCGGGACUGCAAGUUGGGGGUCAAAUCUACCGGCUCAACCGGUAGCCGCACUCAAAACUGCAGUUCUUGAGUGAAGUAGAGGCAGGCGGAAUUCCUAGUGUAGCGGUGAAAUGCGUAGAUAGUAGGAGGAACACCAGUGGCGAAGGCGGCCUGCUGGGCUUUUACUGACGCUGAGGCUCGAAAGUGUGGGGAGCAAACAGGAUUAGAUACCCCUGUAGUC
rnacentral:rRNA from 1 species